AGAGGCUGAAACUCGCCUCUUUGAAGUCGGAAUCGCUAGUAAUCGCAGAUCAGCAUGUUGCGGUGAAUACGUUCCCGGGUCUUGUACACACCGCCCGUCAAACCAUGAGAGUCACCAACACCCGAAGUCCGCUUUGGCGGCCUAAGGUGGGGGAGAUGAUUGGGGUUAAGUCGUAACAAGGUACC
rnacentral:rRNA from 1 species